UACGGAGGGUGCAAGCGUUAUCCGGAUUUACUGGGUUUAAAGGGUGCGUAGGCGGGCUUUUAAGUCAGUGGUGAAAUCUCCGAGCUCAACUCGGAAAUUGCCAUUGAUACUAUUAGUCUUGAAUUAAGUUGAGGUGGGCGGAAUGUGUCAUGUAGCGGUGAAAUGCUUAGAUAUGACACAGAACACCGAUUGCGAAGGCAGCUCGCUAAACUUAUAUUGACGCUGAGGCACGAAAGCGUGGGGAUCAAACAGG
rnacentral:rRNA from 1 species